rnacentral:rRNA from 1 species
UACGGAGGGGGCUAGCGUUGUUCGGACUCACUGGGCGUAAAGGGCGCGCAGGCGGGUCUAUUAGUCGGGGGUGAAAGCCCGGGGCUCAACCUCGGAAGGGCGUUCGAUACGGUCGGUCUUGAGUCCGGGAGAGGUGAGUGGAAUUCCUAGUGUAGCGGUGAAAUUCGUAGAUACUAGGAAGAACACCAGUGGCGAAGGCGGCUCGCUGGCCCGGUACUGACGCUCAGGUGCGAAAGCGUGGGGAGCAAACAGG